GGCGGGGGCGGGAGCUCGCUCCCAGCCCGCUCCCAGCCCGCUCCCGCCGCCGGCCGAGCUCCCCCCGCGCAGCCCGGCGAACUCCCGCCGCUGCCCCGCCGCGGAGCUUUCCCCCUUUCCCGGGUUUCGCAGCGCUGGCAGAGCGGGGGACGCGCUCCGGGAGCGCUGUUCUCCAUCCGCGCCCCCCCGCGCAGCGCUGUCCCGCGGGGGGCGCGGGCGGUGCCGAAGGUGCAGCCGGCACCGAGGGAACAAAGGCGGCGGCGGCGGGGAACAAAGAGCGGCAGAUCUGCCUAAAGAAAUUCUGCAAUAUUUGGAGCCCUGAUGUUCUGCAAGGAAAUGUUCUUUUCCAGGCAAAAGUGAAUCCUGCACCUUUUUCAGUGUCAUUUCAGCUGGAGCCUGACGACACAGGACUUGCAGAAGCAACAAUCAAAGCUGGCUACAACUUGACUGCCCUGCCUUGGCAAACACCUGGUUCAAUUCAUGCUUUGUUGCCAUCCUGGCAACAAACCAA